GACGAACGCUGGCGGCGUGCUUAACACAUGCAAGUCGAACGAAGUGGCGAACGGGUGAGUAACGCGUAAUCAACCUGCCCUUCAGAGGGGGAUAACAGUUGGAAACGACUGCUAAUACCGCAUACUGAAGGAGGGGAUUGCGUCUGAUUAGGUAGUUGGGGGGGUAACGGCCCACCAAGGCGAUGAUCAGUAGCCGGGUUGUGAGGGUGAAGGGGCACAUGGGGACUUGGGCACGGCCCCGGCUCCCACGGGAGGCAGCAGUGGGGAAUCUUCCGAAAUGGACGAAAGUCUGACGGAGCAACGCCGCGUGAGUGAUGACGGCCUUCGGGUUGUAAAGCUCUGUUAAUCGGGACGCGGUACCGGAAUAGAAAGCCACGGCUAACUACGUGCCAGCAGCCGCGGUAAUAC
rnacentral:rRNA from 1 species